CUUGAGCGAGCCCAGCCACAGCGGCUCGUCCCGGUCCUGGCCGUACGUGGCGAGCAGCGCCUGCGCCUC
rnacentral:antisense_RNA from 1 species